GGACCCGCACAAGUAGUGGAGCAUGUGGUUUAAUUCGAAGCAACGCGCAGAACCUUACCAACCCUUGACAUCCUGUGCCACUCCGAGAGAUCGGACGUUCCCUUCGGGGACGCAGUGACAGGUGCUGCAUGGCUGUCGUCAGCUCGUGUCGUGAGAUGUUCGGUUAAGUCCGGCAACGAGCGCAACCCACAUCCUUAGUUGCCAGCAGUUCGGCUGGGCACUCUAAGGAAACUGCCCGUGAUAAGCGGGAGGAAGGUGUGGAUGACGUCAAGUCCUCAUGGCCCUUACGGGUUGGGCUACACACGUGCUACAAUGGCAGUGACAAUGGGAUAAUCCCCAAAAGCUGUCUCAGUUCAGAUUGUCCUCUGCAACUCGAGGGCAUGAAGUUGGAAUCGCUAGUAAUCG
rnacentral:rRNA from 1 species